GUUCUCAUAGUUGAAAUCAACGAUGGUUUUUCAAAUCAUAGGUCCUGGUGAGAAUCCUGGUGAGAAUU
rnacentral:tRNA from 1 species